CGCCCGCCUGCCGCGGCCCAAGGACAACCCAGGAUGGCUGUGUGGGCGGCCAUAGAUAAAGUCCUGAGCAAAAAUUAGCAUCGGUCCUUUUCGAUUUUGAGUUGUCUCCUAAACUAUCAGGCCCAGAGGGAGCUGGUAACAUGCUGCCCAAUGGGCUACACAAGCAGAAGGCGUGCAGAGGAGAGACAACGCAGAGAUUCAAAGCAGAUGCAAGACAGAAAAAGAAGAGGGGCAGUCACAGCCACUCCUUACACAGCCAGGGUGUGCUGCAACGGCCUGAUAUGGGAGAUGGCUUGCACAACGGCUCGAACAGCUUACCCUGCAGUACUGGCUUACCGGCUUCCUCUUAGGAGC